rnacentral:rRNA from 1 species
GACAGAGGUGCCGAGCGUUAUGCGGAAUCACUGGGCUUAAAGCGUGUGUAGGCGGACUUCUAAGUACCUUGUGAAAUCCCACGGCUCAACCGUGGAACUGCUUGGUAUACUGGUUGUCUUGAGCCACUUAGGGGUCAGCGGAACAAAUGGUGGAGCGGUGAAAUGCGUAGAUAUCAUUUGGAACGCCAAUGGUGAAAACAGCUGACUGGGAGUGUGCUGACGCUGAGACACGAAAGCCAGGGGAGCGAACGGG